GCCGAGGUGCUGGAACUGGUAGACAGGCUACGUUGAGGACGUAGUGGGCUUUGCCCGUGCAGGUUCAACUCCUGUCCUCGGCA
rnacentral:tRNA from 2 species